UAGACGAAGCUUGCCAGGCAGGAGCUAGCAAAUAAACAGUACGCUGAACAAAUAUGAUACUGGGAAAAAAAAAAAAAAAAAAAAAAACUUUGGUAGCAAAGCGAAAGCUGUGAUUAUUCCAGGACAUCAUUUUUGCUAGUGAUAUAUGCAGCAGCUUGCAGCAGUAGCAGUAAAGAAAAAUUCCAGAGAUGAAAAGGCUAUAGCAACCCCUUAAUCUCCUUCGUGCCUGUCCUGUGUGACAAGAAAGUCUCCCUUUGAAAUGAGAAGAGAUACAGCCUAGAAGAGGAAAGUUUGAGCAUAAAGAGAUUGGGCAACACUCAGAGUUAUAAGGCUGAAUUCCUGCAGGGGAAAUCUGUGCAAUUACAGUAGGUGACAACACCUUUCCGUUGAAGAUACCAUAUGUACCAGAAGGUGCUACACAAUGCUGUAAGCAGCAAAGAAGCUGAGCAGGAAAUGACUUGAAACAGCCAGUCUGAAUGCCAUCUGGGAUUUCCAUGUUAGUGUUGCAGCUCUGUUGUACGUCACCAAGCUGGAGCUGGUACCAUGAACGGAAGAUUAGCACUGCACUCUGUUGUUGUGUAUUUGGUGCUGUGUUCAAAGCCUACUUAAGGACAAAUACUUCCUGAGAAGCUGAACUCAGGACACUGGCACUCCACGGGCUUUUCUGUAGAUUGAAGCCUGCAACAUAUCUUUCCUUUUGCUGUGCACCCACUCUACGAUGGGCUGGAUCCACACAACAGCAGAUCCCUUUGACCUUCUCCACCACCACCCUUGCCAGUUUUGAGAGACUGUGCAAGAAAUGACAGUGGAACUGAGCUCUGCACUUUGCAAGAGAUGUUUUCUCCCAUGCAACAGAAUUGCUCCUUUCUGUUGCAUCUAAAUUCCUCAGGGACACAGCAGAAGGGACUGAUCUUAACUGAAAGCCAAGCACAGUGAUUCCGCAACAUUCUUGUAUGCUUUUAACACCUACAGAAAUGAACCUAAAACUUGCUUUGCUAAUUUGCAUGGCCAAAUGAAUGUCUGUGAACUAAACAGCACAGCCAUGAUUUGUUACUUUGCUUUUACUACCCUGCUUUAGUUCAGCUCAGAGCACAUUUUAAAACACACCCAUGUGCCUUCAAGUCUUCGCAAGCACCAACAAACAAAAGGGUUUAAAUGAAUGUGGGAACUCCCCCGGUAUCCUCACAGAUGCUCAAUGUUGACAGAGAAAAUGACAUAAAAUGUAACCACCCAGUUUACUUCUGAGGAUUCCCUGCAAAAGAUCAGCUAACAGUUUGAAAUUCACUUCCUAGCUGAAGGAGUCUCUUUUGUUUCUUACAGAGAUAAACUGGGAGGAUUAGCUUUCCAAAAAGGGUGUUAUUAAAGAGGUACAAAUAUAGAACUGUCACCAUAGUAUUAUUGUUAAUAUUAUCAUACAACUUGGCAUAACUUGGCAGAUUUCAAUCUUACAGUUAAGACCCCAGUGCUGAGUGCUAAAAAAACACUUGCCAGAAGUUUGAUGCUUUCCCAAUGAGUUUCCUGUGUCCUCCCUCUCCCGUAG